rnacentral:rRNA from 1 species
CCUACGGGUGGCUGCAGUGGGGAAUAUUGGACAAUGGGGGGAACCCUGAUCCAGCCAUGCCGCGUGUGUGAAGAAGGCCCUCGGGUUGUAAAGCACUUUCAGUGAGGAAGAACGCCUGGUGGUUAAUACCCAUCAGGAAAGACAUCACUCACAGAAGAAGCACCGACUAACUCCGUGCCAGCAGCCGCGGUAAUACGGAGGGUGCGAGCGUUAAUCGGAAUUACUGGGCGUAAAGCGCGCGUAGGUGGCUUGAUAAGCCGGUUGUGAAAGCCCCGGGCUCAACCUGGGAACGGCAUCCGGAACUGUCAAGCUAGAGUGCAGGAGAGGAAGGUAGAAUUCCCGGUGUAGCGGUGAAAUGCGUAGAGAUCGGGAGGAAUACCAGUGGCGAAGGCGGCCUUCUGGACUGACACUGACACUGAGGUGCGAAAGCGUGGGUAGCAAACAGGAUUAGAUACCCUUGUAGUC